rnacentral:lncRNA from 1 species
AUGCGCACACCAGCUAACGUGACUUCAAGAAAGGAGUCCAGGACCCGAGGGCUGGGGCAUAGAGUGUGGAGCAUGCGCACUGACUGCGCCACCAAGACGCGCAGGCGCAGUGGGCUGAGCGCCUGUAGGGGGUCAGUUUGGGACGUUGAGUGUGGAGCAAGAGCUGGUUCUUGGAGGGCCGUUGCUGGGCUCUUGAACAGGGUGGGUCCAAUGAAGAGAGUCUGUAGUCGGACUCCAAGUCUUGAACCUGAAAUGACUGCAGCAAAAAAAGCAAAACUGAAACCAGAUAGUGGAAGAUCAUUCCAACAGGCCUGGACAGAGUCAUUUGGAGUGAUUGAACGCAAUGGGAAAGCGUUAUGUAUUCUGUGUAGUGAAAGUGUUGUGUGUCGCACAUCAAGUGUGAGACGGCACUUUGACACCAACCACAAAAGUGUUGCUGAACUUGGUGAAACUGAAAGGAAAGAGUUUCUAGAAGGAAAAUUGAGGAAAUGUCAUUCCCAGUAUCUUAGUUUUUGCAACCAUCUUUCUAAGUCAAAUCAUCUGACAGCUGCCAGCUUUCAAAUUUCACUGUGUAUAGUAAAACAUGAUAAAGCCAAAUUUGAAGAACUUGAUCUUUCCUGCUUACACUGGUUAGAUUUUGGAAAUCUGGAAAUGGAGCUACUGGAAUUUCAAGAAAGUUCUAUCUGGAAAAAUAAAUUCUUUGACCUGCGUGCAACACUUGAGAAGAUAGAGACAUUAGCGUGUGAAGGGAUGACAAAGGAUAGAACAGUUGGUAGUCCUGAAAAUGAAAUCCUUAAAGUGUGGAAUUCUCUGCCAAAUAAUUUUAAGUCAAUGAAAGCACUUGGGAUUGCUUUUCUUACUUUGUUUGGAUCAUCUUAUGCUUGUGAGCAGCUGUUUUCAGCUUUGAAUUACAUCAAAUCUGAUACAAGAAAACAGACAGAUGAUGUGAGUGCUGCAUGUGUUGCUCUCAAACUAACGAAGUAUGAGCCCAGGUUUGACAAAUUAUCAGCAUGCAUACAACAGCAAAGAUCACAUUAAUUGUGGAAAAACAUGCCAAAUCCAAGCUUUUACCUUUCAAUAAAAAGCUGUUUGUAUCAUUGAAAGCUGUUUCUGUGUUUUCCUUUUGAGACAAAAGAUGUUAAUG